ACUCCUACGGGAGGCAGCAGUAGGGAAUCUUCCACAAUGGGCGCAAGCCUGAUGGAGCAACACCGCGUGAGUGAAGAAGGGUUUCGGCUCGUAAAGCUCUGUUGUUAAAGAAGAACACGUAUGAGAGUAACUGUUCAUACGUUGACGGUAUUUAACCAGAAAGUCACGGCUAACUACGUGCCAGCAGCCGCGGUAAUACGUAGGUGGCAAGCGUUAUCCGGAUUUAUUGGGCGUAAAGAGAGUGCAGGCGGUUUUCUAAGUCUGAUGUGAAAGCCUUCGGCUUAACCGGAGAAGUGCAUCGGAAACUGGAUAACUUGAGUGCAGAAGAGGGUAGUGGAACUCCAUGUGUAGCGGUGGAAUGCGUAGAUAUAUGGAAGAACACCGAGUGGCGAAGGCGGCUACCUGGUCUGCAACUGACGCUGAGACUCGAAAGCAUGGGUAGCGAACAGGAUUAGAUACCCCUGGUAGGAUAGCG
rnacentral:rRNA from 1 species